AGCGACUAAGCGUACACGGUGGAUGCCCUGGCAGUCAGAGGCGAUGAAGGACGUGCUAAUCUGCGAUAAGCGUCGGUAAGGUGAUAUGAACCGUUAUAACCGGCGAUUUCCGAAUGGGGAAACCCAGUGUGAUUCGUCACACUAUCAUUAACUGAAUCCAUAGGUUAAUGAGGCGAACCGGGGGAACUGAAACAUCUAAGUACCCCGAGGAAAAGAAAUCAACCGAGAUUCCCCCAGUAGCGGCGAGCGAACGGGGAGCAGCCCAGAGCCUGAAUCAGUGUGUGUGUUAGUGGAAGCGUCUGGAAAGGCGUGCGAUACAGGGUGACAGCCCCGUACACAAAAAUGCACAUACUGUGAGCUCGAUGAGUAGGGCGGGACACGUGGUAUCCUGUCUGAAUAUGGGGGGACCAUCCUCCAAGGCUAAAUACUCCUGACUGACCGAUAGUGAACCAGUACCGUGAGGGAAAGGCGAAAAGAACCCCGGCGAGGGGAGUGAAAAAGAACCUGAAACCGUGUACGUACAAGCAGUGGGAGCACGCUUAGGCGUGUGACUGCGUACCUUUUGUAUAAUGGGUCAGCGACUUAUAUUCUGUAGCAAGGUUAACCGAAUAGGGGAGCCGAAGGGAAACCGAGUCUUAACUGGGCGUUAAGUUGCAGGGUAUAGACCCGAAACCCGGUGAUCUAGCCAUGGGCAGGUUGAAGGUUGGGUAACACUAACUGGAGGACCGAACCGACUAAUGUUGAAAAAUUAGCGGAUGACUUGUGGCUGGGGGUGAAAGGCCAAUCAAACCGGGAGAUAGCUGGUUCUCCCCGAAAGCUAUUUAGGUAGCGCCUCGUGAAUUCAUCUCCGGGGGUAGAGCACUGUUUCGGCAAGGGGGUCAUCCCGACUUACCAACCCGAUGCAAACUGCGAAUACCGGAGAAUGUUAUCACGGGAGACACACGGCGGGUGCUAACGUCCGUCGUGAAGAGGGAAACAACCCAGACCGCCAGCUAAGGUCCCAAAGUCAUGGUUAAGUGGGAAACGAUGUGGGAAGGCCCAGACAGCCAGGAUGUUGGCUUAGAAGCAGCCAUCAUUUAAAGAAAGCGUAAUAGCUCACUGGUCGAGUCGGCCUGCGCGGAAGAUGUAACGGGGCUAAACCAUGCACCGAAGCUGCGGCAGCGACGCUUAUGCGUUGUUGGGUAGGGGAGCGUUCUGUAAGCCUGUGAAGGUGUGCUGUGAGGUAUGCUGGAGGUAUCAGAAGUGCGAAUGCUGACAUAAGUAACGAUAAAGCGGGUGAAAAGCCCGCUCGCCGGAAGACCAAGGGUUCCUGUCCAACGUUAAUCGGGGCAGGGUGAGUCGACCCCUAAGGCGAGGCCGAAAGGCGUAGUCGAUGGGAAACAGGUUAAUAUUCCUGUACUUGGUGUUACUGCGAAGGGGGGACGGAGAAGGCUAUGUUGGCCGGGCGACGGUUGUCCCGGUUUAAGCGUGUAGGCUGGUUUUCCAGGCAAAUCCGGAAAAUCAAGGCCGAGGCGUGAUGACGAGGCACUACGGUGCUGAAGCAACAAAUGCCCUGCUUCCAGGAAAAGCCUCUAAGCAUCAGGUAACAUCAAAUCGUACCCCAAACCGACACAGGUGGUCAGGUAGAGAAUACCAAGGCGCUUGAGAGAACUCGGGUGAAGGAACUAGGCAAAAUGGUGCCGUAACUUCGGGAGAAGGCACGCUGAUACGUAGGUGAAGCGACUUGCUCGUGGAGCUGAAAUCAGUCGAAGAUACCAGCUGGCUGCAACUGUUUAUUAAAAACACAGCACUGUGCAAACACGAAAGUGGACGUAUACGGUGUGACGCCUGCCCGGUGCCGGAAGGUUAAUUGAUGGGGUUAGCGCAAGCGAAGCUCUUGAUCGAAGCCCCGGUAAACGGCGGCCGUAACUAUAACGGUCCUAAGGUAGCGAAAUUCCUUGUCGGGUAAGUUCCGACCUGCACGAAUGGCGUAAUGAUGGCCAGGCUGUCUCCACCCGAGACUCAGUGAAAUUGAACUCGCUGUGAAGAUGCAGUGUACCCGCGGCAAGACGGAAAGACCCCGUGAACCUUUACUAUAGCUUGACACUGAACAUUGAGCCUUGAUGUGUAGGAUAGGUGGGAGGCUUUGAAGUGUGGACGCCAGUCUGCAUGGAGCCGACCUUGAAAUACCACCCUUUAAUGUUUGAUGUUCUAACGUGGACCCGUGAUCCGGGUUGCGGACAGUGUCUGGUGGGUAGUUUGACUGGGGCGGUCUCCUCCUAAAGAGUAACGGAGGAGCACGAAGGUUGGCUAAUCCUGGUCGGACAUCAGGAGGUUAGUGCAAUGGCAUAAGCCAGCUUGACUGCGAGCGUGACGGCGCGAGCAGGUGCGAAAGCAGGUCAUAGUGAUCCGGUGGUUCUGAAUGGAAGGGCCAUCGCUCAACGGAUAAAAGGUACUCCGGGGAUAACAGGCUGAUACCGCCCAAGAGUUCAUAUCGACGGCGGUGUUUGGCACCUCGAUGUCGGCUCAUCACAUCCUGGGGCUGAAGUAGGUCCCAAGGGUAUGGCUGUUCGCCAUUUAAAGUGGUACGCGAGCUGGGUUUAGAACGUCGUGAGACAGUUCGGUCCCUAUCUGCCGUGGGCGCUGGAGAACUGAGGGGGGCUGCUCCUAGUACGAGAGGACCGGAGUGGACGCAUCACUGGUGUUCGGGUUGUCAUGCCAAUGGCACUGCCCGGUAGCUAAAUGCGGAAGAGAUAAGUGCUGAAAGCAUCUAAGCACGAAACUUGCCCCGAGAUGAGUUCUCCCUGACCCUUUAAGGGUCCUGAAGGAACGUUGAAGACGACGACGUUGAUAGGCCGGGUGUGUAAGCGCAGCGAUGCGUUGAGCUAACCGGUACUAAUGAACCGUGAGGCUUAACCUUACAACGCCGAAG
rnacentral:rRNA from 1 species